UGCAGUCGAGCGGUAACAGGGGUAGCUUGCUACCCGCUGACGAGCGGCGGACGGGUGAGUAAUGCAUAGGAAUCUGCCCGAUAGUGGGGGAUAACCUGGGGAAACCCAGGCUAAUACCGCAUACGUCCUACGGGAGAAAGGGGGCUCCGGCUCCCGCUAUCGGAUGAGCCUAUGUCGGAUUAGCUAGUUGGUGAGGUAAAGGCUCACCAAGGCGACGAUCCGUAGCUGGUCUGAGAGGAUGAUCAGCCACAUCGGGACUGAGACACGGCCCGAACUCCUACGGGAGGCAGCAGUGGGGAAUAUUGGACAAUGGGGGGAACCCUGAUCCAGCCAUGCCGCGUGUGUGAAGAAGGCCCUCGGGUUGUAAAGCACUUUCAGUGAGGAAGAACGCCUGGUGGUUAAUACCCAUCAGGAAAGACAUCACUCACAGAAGAAGCACCGGCUAACUCCGUGCCAGCAGCCGCGGUAAUACGGAGGGUGCGAGCGUUAAUCGGAAUUACUGGGCGUAAAGCGCGCGUAGGUGGCUUGAUAAGCCGGUUGUGAAAGCCCCGGGCUCAACCUGGGAACGGCAUCCGGAACUGUCAAGCUAGAGUGCAGGAGAGGAAGGUAGAAUUCCCGGUGUAGCGGUGAAAUGCGUAGAGAUCGGGAGGAAUACCAGUGGCGAAGGCGGCCUUCUGGACUGACACUGACACUGAGGUGCG
rnacentral:rRNA from 1 species